ensembl:lncRNA
GACUUUUGAGUAAAACUGUGCAUAUGAAAAUCUGGUCUGAUCUAUAGACCUUCCUGGGCUGUAUUUUCCAUAGUAGUAAAAAUGAGAAUCAUAAUUACUUCCUAAGUUUAAUAGAGUAAAAGAUCAUGUAUGAGCCAACAACUACAAUAGGUCCCUGAGCAUGGUGGAUACUCAGCAUAUAUGAGUUUUUGUCUUUAAUGACAAGAAAUUCUCUGAACAAAGAAAGUGUGCUUUCUCUGGUAGCCAUGUUAUCUAGGGCUUCUGUCCUCAUCCUCAGAGGCCCAGUGUCAGGAAAUAAGAAUAGCUUGAACGUGACCUUAACUCUCAUGUCCCACAGCCUGCAUGUUUGGAAGAGCUAUCACUCACACCUGCACAUAUUUUGAGUAACUCUCUAAAACUGCAUAUAAGGAGAUGAGAGUGAAGUCCUCAAGUGAACUGAAUCUCCUGGGACUUUUCUAUGGUGAUGAAGCGGACCUUUGCACAGGACCUCUGCCUGAAAUCACCUCUCUCUUACUCCCUAAGCAGGAUAAUCACUACUCGGACUUUGAGGCUCCACGUGGCCAGACUUUCCACAGACCAUGGAGCAUACCAUCGAGUGGAUCCUCAAAAAAUGUUUUUUGAUGAAUGAGAGAUUGACUUUCUUUUGCUCUGCUGUCUCAGCCACACUACUGUUCCACCCCUGAAAAUCAUAAUUUAAAGUGCCUGUUGAUAAUUAUCAUUAUCAGUUUGACUUAAUUAAUCCUUUGUUGUCUCUAUCCUUGCCAAGCAAAAGCAAAAAUCUUUCUAUGCCAAAAUCCUUAGUUCAAAAGAAAUUAUAAUGUCAAACAAUGAAGG